GUGGAUUAGAUACCCUGGUAGUCCACGCCGUAAACGAUGAGAACUUGACGUUGGUUUGCUUAGCAAAUCGGUGUCGUAGCUAACGCGAUAAGUUCUCCGCCUGGGGAGUACGGCCGCAAGGUUGAAACUCAAAGGAAUUGACGGGGGCCCGCACAAGCGGUGGAGUAUGUGGUUUAAUUCGAUGCAACGCGAAGAACCUUACCUGGUCUUGACAUGUCAAGAAGUCUGCAGAGAUGCGGAUGUGCCUUCGGGAACUUGAACACAGGUGCUGCACGGCCGUCGUCAACU
rnacentral:rRNA from 1 species